rnacentral:rRNA from 1 species
GACGAACGCUGGCGGCGUGCCUAAUACAUGCAAGUCGAACGCUGAAGAGAGGAGCUUGCUCUUCUAGGAUGAGUUGCGAACGGGUGAGUAACGCGUAGGUAACCUGCCUUGUAGCGGGGGAUAACUAUUGGAAACGAUAGCUAAUACCGCAUAACAAUGGAUGACACAUGUCAUUUAUUUGAAAGGGGCAAUUGCUCCACUACAAGAUGGACCUGCGUUGUAUUAGCUAGUAGGUGAGGUAAUGGCUCACCUAGGCGACGAUACAUAGCCGACCUGAGAGGGUGAUCGGCCACACUGGGACUGAGACACGGCCCAGACUCCUACGGGAGGCAGCAGUAGGGAAUCUUCGGCAAUGGGGGCAACCCUGACCGAGCAACGCCGCGUGAGUGAAGAAGAUUUUCGGAUCGUAAAGCUCUGUUGUAAGUCAAGAACGGGUGUGAGAGUGGAAAGUUCACACUGUGACGGUAGCUUACCAGAAAGGGACGGCUAACUACGUG